rnacentral:tRNA from 1 species
GCCUUCGUGAUGUAGUGGUCAGCACGCUGGGCACGUACUGUAGAGGUCCGUGGUUCGAAUCCCGGCGAAGGCG